rnacentral:rRNA from 1 species
UACGUAGGUGGCAAGCGUUGUCCGGAAUCAUUGGGCGUAAAGCGCGCGUAGGCGGCCUCAUAAGUCCGUUGUGAAAGUCAAAGGCUCAACCUUUGAAAGCCGAUGGAUACUGUGAGGCUAGAGUCCGGAAGAGGCGAGUGGAAUUCCCGGUGUAGUGGUGAAAUGCGUAGAGAUCGGGAGGAACACCCGUGGCGAAGGCGGCCAACUGGGCCGGACCUGACGCUGAGGCGCGAAGGCGUGGGGAGCGAACGGG